AAGAAAAGUGUCUCUACGGGCAAAUAGGCAACCAAUAGUUAAAUGACUGGUGAGUAACUGAGUCUCCCUUAUAACUGAAAUGUGGAGGAAAAGUAGGGGCCAGUCUCGUUCUUCAUUUUUCUUUCUAAGAACCUGUAAUAUUGAAUAUUGGAAAUCAAACGGAUUAAGAUGCAACGUAAUGGACAUUGACAAUUCAUAAAGCUGAGACAAAUAGCUUGAAUUGAGUUCUAG
rnacentral:misc_RNA from 1 species